GAUGAAGAACGUAGCGAAAUGCGAUAAGUAAUGUGAAUUGCAGAAUUCAGUGAAUCAUCGAGUCUUUGAACGCACAUUGCGCCCCCUGGUAUUCCGGGGGGCAUGCCUGUCCGAGCGUCAUUGCUGCCCUCAAGCACGGCUUGUGUGUUGGGCCCCCGUCCCCGGUUUCCCCCGGAGACGGGCCCGAAAGGCAGCGGCGGCACCGCGUCCGGUCCUCGAGCGUAUGGGGCUUUGUCACCCGCUCUGUAGGCCCGGCCGGCGCCAGCCGACACCCAACUUUAUUUCUAAGGUUGACCUCGGAUCAGGUAGGGAUACCCGCUGAACUUAAGCAUAUCAAUAAGCGGAGGA
rnacentral:misc_RNA from 1 species